UUAUAAGAGACAGCAGUAGCCGCGGGAAUACGGAGGGUGCAAGCGUUAAUCGGAAUUACUGGGCGUAAAGCGCACGCAGGCGGUCUGUCAAGUUAGAUGUGAAAUCCCCGGGCUUAACCUGGGAACUGCAUUUGAAACUGGCAGGCUAGAGUCUUGUAGAGGGGGGUAGAAUUCCAGGUGUAGCGGUGAAAUGCGUAGAGAUCUGGAGGAAUACCGGUGGCGAAGGCGGCCCCCUGGACAAAGACUGACGCUCAGGUGCGAAAGCGUGGGGAGCAAACAGGAUUAGAUACCCGAGUAGUCCCUGUCUCUUAUAC
rnacentral:rRNA from 1 species